UCAUGGCCUCCAUGAAAUGGGCUAAAGCAUAGUAUUAAGUGGGCCUCUUUCUUGGAACGCGCAUUACGGCGCGACGAGUCCCUCUCCGCUUCUGCUACGGAGAAACGAUCAAUCGAUCUAUGAAGCUGAACUGGUAAUGGGGCGAACGAAGCAUCCUCGAGGAGGAGGCGGAGAUUCCCAGGCUAUCGACUUCCAAUUCUCCGUGUCGGCUUCUCUGCAGGGGUACCACGAUCUUGUCUUUUCCUCUUCCACUAACUCGUUUCCGGUUCCUUUUCUGGUGCAGAUCGAGGAGGAGGCGUUGGCGGUGUCGAGCACGACUCCCACGCUAUGCACUUCCGAGGUUGGAGAAUUCUUCUUCCCCUAAUCACUCCUUGUAGGCCGGCAUGACGAUCUUGCCUUUUUCUCUUACACCAAUUCCUUUCCGACGGUUCCUUUUCCGGUACAGAUCAAGAGGAGACGGUCCGGGAGCACGCCCGUGUGUUCGUUGUCGGCUCCUGGUCCACUCCAUCUUAUUGGGCUCAUGAGAUGGAUAGGAGGUCAUGAGAUGUGAUAUUAAAGUACAUAUUGGGCUCUAUUGGGGAUGUUGAAGCGUAUAUUGGGUUCUAUUCUACCUGCUUACAGGAAUGAUCCAGGGGGACAUCAGUCAAUAGAAGCAUCACAAGCCGCAGGUGGAUUGGAGGAUCUCAUGCCAUACAUGAGCCUGACUUUAUUACAUCCUGGUUAACCCUCAAAAGGUUCGAGUGAUGUUGCUUUCUUUGAGGUUCACCAAUUGUAAUGAGAGAAAAAGAUAGGAGUCUUAUCACCUUGGAAUAUGGAAUCUUGGACAUAGGCCACACAGUAUGAGAGAGGGAGAGAGAGGAGAUUCCAAGUGGCUGAGUGCGCCAGGAAUGUGUGCGGCAAAACCUGUUGUCAUCACCUGAUGUAGCAGAAGUGCAGAAGACAAGGAGCCUAUCGGUUGGCUUGCCUGUGAAGGAGAAGGAUGAACAACUGUUAUUGGGUCCACUAUCAAAAAGCUUAGAUCCACAACAGAGAGAGAGAGAGAGAGAGAGAGAGAGAGAGAGAGAGAGAUGGUUGUGUUAAUUUUUCUCUCUGCAAAUUAUUGUGUACUCUUAUCAUUCUUAUAGAUUAGGAAAAUAAACAUCGACUAAGUAGUCGAUUUUUACCAUUGAAUUCAAGAGGGUGGUGAAGUUUCCACGAUCCUUCUCCAUCCACCUCUUGGAGGUUCAUUGAACCCAGACUAUUUUUGAUAUAAAUCCAUGGAAUUCAAGAGGGUGGUGAAGUUUCCACGAUCCUUCUCCAUCCACCUCUUGAGGCUCAUUGAAUCCAGACUACUUUUGAUAUAAAUCCUUGAAUCCCUGUAUGAUGUUCUAAUAUGCAAAAUAUUAAAUAUGCUUGAUGGAUGUUUACACCCACAGGACCAGAUCUUAUUUCAUAAGUUUCUCUUUCUUAUUCUCAAGUGGAUUUGUUUGUUUCAUCUUUUUUUUUCCUUUUAAUUUCUUUCGAGAAAGAUAUAAUUUAUUUAUUUUAUUAAUUUUUUUUAUUGAAAUGAAUGGAUUUCACGUGUAUCCUCCUAUUCAUGGUGGAUUAACAAAAAUAUGCAAUAGCUCUAUUUGCCUCUGCCAUUUUCUGCCUUUUCGUGUAUGAUAUGAUCAUUUCCAUCUAAUUUUUUCUGUCUCUUU